CAUCUCCACAAGCACAUUUUAUAGAAGAAAGAAAGUAGACAGUUCUUUCACAGAAGCAGAGAGAAUUCUUAACAGAAUCAUUGAGGGAGAUUCAGACUUAGAUCUUUCUGAAGAUGAGAGUCCAUUGAGUCCAGGAGAGAGUGAGAACCCUUAUGAGGAACCAGAUAAGGAAACAGAUGAGGAUGAAUUCAUGCCUGUGUUGGAAGAAAACCAUGGAAGAGGAGAUCAAAACCUUUUUAGGAAUCUCUGUGUACAUGGCAUGCCUUGGAUAUCCAAGAAUCAAAAUGUAUUGGGCUGCCAAAACAAGAGUCCCAAUUAUAGCUGAUUCUAUGACACGUGAUCGUUUCUUAAAGAUCAGGUCUUCACUGGAAGUGGUGAAUGAUCUGGAUGUGCCAGAACAUGAAAAGAAAAAGGAUCCCCUGUGGAAAGUCAGGCCAGUUCUGAAGAGAGUCCUUCAAGGUUGCCUCAGACUACCUAGGCCAACAAAGGUUUGUAUUGAUGAACAGAUUGUUCCAUUCACCAGCCGUUGUCUGGUUCGUCAGUUUGUACCUGGGAAGCCGAAUCCAACAGGAUUAAAGGUGUUCGUUCUUGCAAGUCCAGGUGGCUUAGUACUGGAUUUUGAAACCUACAUGGGAAAGAACACCUUCACUCAAGGGAAUAGGUGGAAAUGCAGUCCUGCAUUUGACUGAGACACUUCCCAGAGGAUCACUGGUCUACUUUGACCGAUAUUUUACCACCAUCAGUGUUCUGGAUGCUCUUAAAGAAAGGGGCCUAUCUGCUACAGGAACAAUUCAAAAGAAUCGCAUCCAAAAAGAGUGCCGCUUCACUGCUGACAACAACCUGAGCAGAAAACCAAGAGGGUCAUCAGAAAUGAUUGCACGGAGACCUGAUGAAAUGGCAGUCACCAAGUGGAUGGACAACAAGCCUGUUGUCAUGGCAUCGACUGCCCAUGGAAUUGAGCCCCAGGAUACCUGUUCCAGAUGGUCAAAGAAAGAAAAGAGGCGAAUCCAAGUCCCAAGACCUGCAGUGGUUGCGGAAUAUAACAUCAACAUGAGAGGGGUUGACGUGUGUGAUCGGAUGCUCAGUUUCUACAGAAUGUCCAGCCAGACCAAGAAGUGGACUGUUCGCACCAUACUUCACUUCAUUGAUUUGGCCAUUACCAACUCAUGGCUUCAGCAUCGACAAGACAACCAGGCCUUGCAAUGAGCUGCAAAGAACAACUCCCAGUACCUGGAGUUCAAACUCCUUUUGGUCGAGGAACUGAUAACUCAACUGAUAACGCAAAUCAAGAAAAGGAAGCCCCACCCAGAUGAGACAAUAAGAAAAUAUGGUGCAGUCCACCUACCUGAAAUGGUUGACAUUCCACGUCCAUUCAGGUGCAGAAUGCCUGGGUGCAACAGCAAAACAUACGUGAGAUGUGUGAAGUGUCAAUUGUUUGUCUGUGUCUCCAAAAAAUCACAGUGCUUCCUCAGAUAUCAUAAAUGAAUGUGUUUCUGUGUUGUUUUUAUGUAAAUAUGUUCAAUAUGUUUUGAUAUCUUGCUCACAAAGAUUUCAGUGGAGUGUUCAAUUUUCAUGAUAAGCUCUUAAAUAUUCUUGAUCUUUCUCACAAACGAAAUCCUGUUGUGCACUGAAGUGCACGUGUUGUAAAAUUUAAAUAAAA